AGAGCGAACGCUGGCGGCAGGCCUAACACAUGCAAGUCGAGCGCCCCGCAAGGGGAGCGGCAGACGGGAGAGUAACACGUGGGAACGUACCCUUUGGUUCGGAACAACCCAGGGAAACUUGGGCUAAUACCGAAUAAGCCCUUACAGGGAAAGAUUUAUCGCCAAAAGGAUCGGCCCGCGUCUGAUUAGCUAGUUGGUGAGGUAACGGCUCACCAAGGCGACGAUCAGUAGCUGGUCUGAGAGGAUGAUCAGCCUCACUGGGACUGAGACACGGCCCAGACUCCUACGGGAGGCAGCAGUGGGGAAUAUUGGACAAUGGGCGCAAGCCUGAUCCAGCCAUGCCGCGUGGGUGAUGAAGGCCCUAGGGUUGUAAAGCCCUUUCGGCGGGGAAGAUAAUGACGGUACCCGCAGAAGAAGCCCCGGCUAACUUCGCGCCAGCAGCCGC
rnacentral:rRNA from 1 species